CCACCAAGAACCUCUGACUGCACCGAGCGUUCUGUCAGUGAGCUUUAUGUAAAAGCACAGGGGAUGAUGGCGAAUGGAGAUUAGUAUGAGAUACGAUUGACUAGCAGAGAUUAGGAUGAAACGAGGACAUAUUGGAAUAGUUAAGUCUGGAGGUAACGAGAACAUAGAUACGAGUGUCAGUAGCAGAUAAGCCAGUGUGAAUGCAGAAAGUCUUUGUUACAAAGAAGAUAUGGUAACAGAAGCUGGUCUAUGUACAACCAAGAUUGGUUUAGCUGAAGCAAGUAGACAGAAAGAGGAAGAGAAAAUCCUCGACAAGUCAAUCAAGAAGUCUGCCUGCUGAUACCAAUCAAAGGGCCCUGUAAGGCCUCAAUCCGUCGAUAUUUUUACAACAUAAUUCUUAAGACUUGUGACUAUUUCAAAUAUAGUGGCUGUGGGGGGAAUGGAAACAACUUUCGCACUAUGCAUGAAUGUGCGCUGUACUGCCAAGGAGCCAACAGAAGAUGAUUAGCUGUGGCAACAAAUAACCAGACCUUCCCAAAUUGGAUCUCUGCAGUAACAAGGCGGAAAACAGGAUUUUGACUCUGGACGUGUGUUUUACCCACAAUUCUGUUGUCUUUCAGCAUUUCAACAAAAUUCCACACAAGGAACAUCUUGUUUUACGAUACAAAGGAUGUACCAUGUCUAAGAUGUAUUUUGGCUUUCUGUCACCUUCAUCUUCAGAUAUGUUCAACCUCAAAUCUGAUUUAGUUUGUCUUAAGUGAACAAUUUUAAUAAUUUCUUAAGCAGCAUAGUUUCUUUCUUCAUCUAACCUGAGAGCUUGAGUGACCUUUGACAUUCCUCCAUUGAUAUUUAAUACUCCUGGGAUAAUCAAUCUUGUCAAAAUUAUUUCACCAUUUUUAAUGCUCAUCCUUAUGCAGGUCUCAUGUCCUUGAACUUUCCAUAGACAAGAGCUGAUUUAAGAAUUAUUAUAUAAAUAUUACAUUUUGAGCUGUAUUAUCAGAAACCAGUUCAUCUGGAAUCGCAUCCCAUUGAAACCUUGUUUAUGGAGUUUAAUUUUUAAAAAUCCAGAAAACAAACAGAAUCCAGAUAUAUUUUUGCUUAUUUUAAGAUGUUUCCAUAUCAACUAGGUUUUGUUCAAGUUUUACAAUAAAAUUAUGUCAACUUUAUUUGUGUCUCAACAUAGGUUUCUUUAAUAGUGUCGUGAUUUGCUAAAUGUUUCUUUUGCUUUUCAUGAAUUGCUCUUUUCACUACUUUAACAUCAAAGUGCAGCCUACUCUUUAAUCAAAAAUAAAAAAAAUAUUGGAUGCAGAAAUUUGGUACACAUAUAAAUGUUUUUAGAGGUGCUCAACAGGUCAGGUAGCAGCUGCAAAAAAGCAGACGUCAGGCAAUGAAUUGUACAUGGGAUCUUUCAUCAGAACCCAAAACAUUCACAAAUUUGUACUGUCUUUUCCUGAUUCGCUUGCAGAAUUUACUUCUUUUUGCUUUAACUUACUGAAAUUUUAAGUAGUUUCAGUACACUCCUCUAUGAUCUGCCAGAAGUAAUUGCACAACCCAAUGAAACUCCUCAGGUCUCUUAUGUUGAUAGUUACCUCUAAAUUCAGUAUAAGCUGAACAUGGUUAUGCUGCAUUAGAACUCUGCCCGACAUGAAUUACUUGUCACUCUCCUAUCAUCAUUUUCUUCUUUGCUUUUAUCACAAUACAGCUCAGUUGAUUCAAUGUGUGCUUCAAAUUUUGCAAACUGAUCAGAUCAGGUUUGACUAUUUAUCACAAUGUCAACAAGUGCUUCAUGUAGAAAAUAAUAGUUGUGACUGCUGUGUUAAACUAAAUAGUCUGGCAUAGUGCAUUUAAUUAGUUAUUGUUAUCUGCUGAAACCAACUUGCCUGAUUGUCUGACUGGUGGAUUUACAUCUAAGUAAAAAUACAUUUAUAGCAUGCAAUCUGCAACAUUUCCUUUCCCUAGUUCUAACACCUUUUUGGUGAUUGAAUUAUUUUUAAAAGACAAUCCUUAUACAUAAUGACAACUUUAAAAAAUACAUUUUAGUGUUAAAAUAUGUAGUUUGUGAAACAGGAUUGCUGUGUAUGCUGACUGUGCAGAUGGUUUGUCAUAAAUAAACUGAAUUUAUUAUCUUGGUUGGUGGCAGGAAAACAGUGAAAAUGAAGCAUGUGCCUGUUGCACCAAUACAUAAAAAAAUUCAAAACCAAUCAAACAAAGCAGCUCUUUAAAAGAUCCAGUGAUAAAAUAUUAGAUAUGUAUCAUUCUUCGCAAGAAGUUCCAAAUCUUGCUAUGUUAUUUUCUUUGAAAUGGUGAUUAAAAUUCUAGACUGAUA